rnacentral:rRNA from 1 species
UGGGGAAUUUUGCGCAAUGGGCGAAAGCCUGACCCAGCAACGCCGCGUGAAGGAUGAAGUAUUUCGGUAUGUAAACUUCGAAAGAAUAGGAAGAAUAAAUGACGGUACUAUUUAUAAGGUCCGGCUAACUACGUGCCAGCAGCCGCGGUAAUACGUAGGGACCAAGCGUUGUUCGGAUUUACUGGGCGUAAAGGGCGCGUAGGCGGCAAUUCAAGUCAUCUGUGAAAUCUCCGGGCUUAACUCGGAACGGUCAGAUGAUACUGCUUUGCUAGAGUGCAGAAGGGGCAAUCGGAAUUCUUGGUGUAGCGGUGAAAUGCGUAGAUAUCAAGAGGAACACCUGAGGUGAAGACGGGUUGCUGGGCUGACACUGACGCUGAGGCGCGAAAGCCAGGGGAGCAAACGGGAUUAGAUACCCACGUAGUCCCUGAGCGGGCUGGCAAGGCGCAU